GGCUGAAAAUGUGUCCUCAUGGCUUAAAACAAGCCCAGGCAAAACUUUCCAGGAGCAGACGGGCAGUUCACACUUCAUCAGGGCAGUUAUGGGACAAACCCAGCCCAGCCUCACAGGAACAAAGGACACUGGCCUAGGCAACAACAAAGGAUCUGUUGGACUCUCAAGUGAGUCACCCCCCUUCCCUUGGUCAGUUUGGGACUACGAUGAGGUAAUGCUCACCUGACUCUGAAGGGGGGGGCAAAGCCAAGAGGGGAAAAAAAAAUAUGAUAAAAGGGAGAGACAUUUGCCAUGCUCUCUCUCUUCCACCUCUAUCUACAGACACCACCACCAAGUGACUGAAGCGCUGACCAAAGUGGGAGAGGAUGGCUGAAGGGCAACCAGCCAGCCUGUGGUAAGAAGCAUCUACGUUUGUAAGGGCACUGAAAGUGUUAAGAAUUUUAGAUGCCAACAAGUGUGACACUGAGAUGGCCCGGAUCAGUAGUUCCCAAGAGCACACUUUCUGGUGACAGCUAGAGUGAAAUUCACCUGGUGCAGGGCUUCAAAUAAGGCUCCAGAUAGCUACCAGUGAUUAGGACUCAAGCUCUAAGCAGAUCUUAUGAUAUACUUGCAAGAUCAUCAAGUGUCAUAGUAGCUGGAGGUUGCAAGAGAUCUUUACUGGAACCCUAUACCGAUUUGUAUGUUCCACAAGAUAUGUGUAGUACAUUUGCAAACUACACAUGUCAUCCCUGCUGGGGCCCCACUGAAAAUGUUCAAAUUGGGCCCCGCACUUCCUAAAGCUGGCCCUGCUUGUACCUCCCAUAAAGGCCCUUCACCCGGACCGCCUGGCCAGUGGUUCACUGCAUUGCAUUCCAUCGUGCCUCAGGAAGACAUACCUUCAUCGCACUAUCCAUCGCUGCGCUGUGGAACACUUACCUUGAAGGAUCCUGACAUCUCCAGUGCCGUGCCUGUCCUGGGAGCGUGAGUAUGCGAAUGUGAGUGUGACACCUCCACUCCCCAUUCUUCUGAGCGUAGCUAUCAAUAUAAUAAACGUGCUGCUUUCUGCCAAACUCUGGUGGGUCAUUAGUCCUCCCUAAGCUUAAUAGCUGGCCCAAGUUUGGGUAACAUUAAUGUUGGAGAAUGCGGGCAGCUUAGUGGAGGAUUUGACCCAAGAAUAGAGGCCCCCUGGUGCCCCCCGGUAGUCUCUUGGGUGGGUCUGGCUCGAGCCAGCAUGAAAAAGUGGUAGGCUAGCAACCCACUGCAGGGAGAAAAGGACACCACUGUUGAGUGCUGGUGUAGGGCAAAGGAGAGAAUUAGGUGUAAAUCCCCUGGUGCCCCCUCCCCGGUAGUCUCUUGGGUGGGUCCAGCUCGAGCCUGCGUGAAAAAGUGGUAGGCUAGCAACCCACUUCAGGUAGAAAAGGACGCCACUGUUGAGUGCCUGCGUAGGACAAGGGAGAGAAUUAGGUGUAACCCCCCUGGUACCCCCUAAUAGCUUCUUGAGUGGGUCCGGCUUGAGCCUGCAUGAAAAGUGGUAGGCUAGCAACCCACUGCAGUAAGAAAAGGACGCCGCUGCUAAGUAUGCCACAGUGGGGCAAGGGGAAGGAAAAGGCAAAGCAGCCUGAGUGAGAAGACACGCCCCCUGCCAUGGGGAGCGGCGCCGCUGCCUGAGGUGUUGUUAGAAUGGUUCCAAAAGAAAGGGGCAGACCCCUGGAUGCAGAUCCCUGGGAGUACAAUUCAUGAGUUGGAGAAGGAACGGGAUAUGUGGAAGGCGCAGGUUCUGACUGUGGAAGUAGAGAAUGCCGCUCUGUGCCAGGCAGUUACCUGCCUGAAGGAUCUGGUCCUGGUGUAGGGAUAUUACAGAAAGUACUAACAGUGAUUCCCCCAAGUGACAGUGAACCCCCCAUAAUUUGUCCCCCACACUUUAAAAUCCAAUAGUUUCACCAAGUACAAAAAUCUCUUGGGUCUUCUGUUAAAACUUGUAAGCUACUGCCUGUAGAAACCAUUGAUUGUAUCGGUCCUAUGAAAGAUAAUUUAUUACUAUGUAAAACUUACAAACAAGUUCAUUGACUUUGUUCUUGAAGUAAUUGAUACAAUGUAAACAAAUGCUAUAAGCCGUUAAGUGACUUUCACUUCAUUGUAACAGCAACGGCUCCUAGGAACAGACCCCGACCCUCUGUGAUUAAAGGGCCGGGAGUCUCAAAUGAAUUAGCACACACCCCAAAAGUGGUGGAGACAGUAAAUUAAAAUACGGUUAAGAUAUGGAAUGUAUGUUGAUGAAUGCUUGAUGUACAUGAAUGGUUAGGGAGGUGCCAGGCUAGAAAGGGAGUAUCCAGCGGCCAAAGAAUGGACAAAGAAUGUGUCAAGUA